rnacentral:lncRNA from 1 species
UCUUAGAAUAAUCUACUAGGAGAAAAAAAAAAAGAGAGAUAAAACUUAUGUUAAAAAAUACACUAAAAUUCAUUGUAUCUUGCUAUUACUAGAUGGGUCUAUUGAAUUUUUCUCUUUGUAAAAUAAAGUUCUGAAGACUGGAAAAGGUACAGUGGACUCUAAUAAAUAGGGAUGGAUAUUUUCCUAGAAUUCCAAGGAAAUAUUGUUUGUUUGUCUUCUUUGUGUGUUUUUUUUUUUUUCUGGUAAUUAUUUUUCUUCUCCAUGUAUAGUCAAAUCACUGUGUCUUUAAGUUACUUUGAAUAGUUCUAUUAUGAGAGAGAAACUUGUUAAUUUGCUUUUUGUUUUGAUCUGAUUUUUAGGAUUGUUUUUAAAAUUUUAAUUGUGUGGUAUAAUUAUGUAUAAUGAUUUCAUGAUUCCUAAUUCAAAUCAAGAAGGAAGUCUAGAUUCAAUACACUCCAACUUCAUUCUGUUCCCUUUCUUUUACUAUAAAUAAACAUUUAAAAUAUAUUGUGGUUUAUCCUUUCUAAAUAUAAAUGUACAUAAUAAGUGUAAUUCAGGUUAUGUUCUAAUAAAAUUAUACCUAUUAAUAACCUUCUUUCUUAAAUAAUCAGAGCUCUAGAUGAUAUAACAGCUAUCUAUUUCUGUGUAAUAGACCACCUCAAACAUGGUGGAUUGAAGUUGCAAUCAUGCCUUUGGUCAUUUUGGUUGUUGGCUUGACCUCUCUUUCCAGGUGAUAUCUCAUCCUCAAGGAGAUCAGCUCAAGCAUUUUCACAAAAGGGAUGAUAAGGAAACGGGAGACAAAUUAGUUAUCAUUAGUACCAUCUAUUUACAAAAGUAUUUAGAGUUUAUUACAGAGUAUCUUAUACAAUCUUCAUAACCAUCUUGAGGUGCAUAUAAUUAACUUUUCUUAAGGAAAAGGAAAUUGAAGCUAGGGUAGCAAACAAGAGUAGGAGUUAUAAUGCCUUUUGAAACUUAGGCUGAAAAGUAUCACAUCUAUUACAGUGUAUUGGUUUAAGCCACUUCCAAGGAAAGUCCAGAUUCGUAAGAUGGAGGAAUCAAUUCUACCUUUUGAUGGGAAGAGCAACAAAAGCACAUUGUACAGAACAUGCACAUUGUAGGAAGAAAUUGUGACUAUCUGAUCUAUGGGUAGAACCUUCUUCCUACCCCUGUCUAAAAAGUUUUCAGUAAAGCAACUCAUUACCAAAGGGACCAAUAAAUGACAUGGGCUCCAGGCAAUUGUAUUAGUGAUUAGUCUGUCUUUUGGAGGAGGACACAUAGAGGUUCUUCAUGAGAGUAGAUCUGUUUGCUGCCUACCCAGAAGUUCAACUGUGUUCUUCUAAACACAGCUCCAGCGGUGUUCGAAAGUCCCCCUGACCCCUUAUGAGACUAAGAGAAGUGACUUCAUCUCUAGUUAUUCCGAGUUCAUUAGUGAAUGACAUUCUCAAUGUAAACCUUUCUCAUUUGGCAAUGGUUUGGAGACAUGAACUGGCUCAGUCAAACUAAAGAGAAGACUAUUAUGUAUAAUUCUUGCCUGAAUGGUUUCUCUCUCACCCCUGCUGGACAUGAGAACGAACCCCUUUGGUCACAAUUUUUUCUGCAAAGUAUUUAAACAUCAUAAAGGCAACCAGCCUUAAAACAAGUCAAUGCUGAGGGUCGAAGACUGGAAAGACAUUAAGAAACAGGCACUUUGAUGACAUUAUAAAAUCUCUAUUCCAUUCCACAUUUAGAGCCUGCCCUGUUGGACUGCCAUUUACACAAGAUUUAAAUAUUCUUAUUACUUAUAAUAGCUUAAGAUUCUUUUCAUCAUUUAACUUUUGAUUUUGCAAUCACUUGUAUGGGUAUUUCAGUUUAGAAAAUCAUUUUCAUAUUCAUAACAUAUAACAUUGAUGCCACUGCAUCUGCCUACCAUCAGUAAGAAAGGUUCUAUAGUUCUCAAUGCUAUUUUUGAGUUAAAGAACCUGAGGCUCAGAGACUGUUAAUAAAACAACGAGACAAUGAAUGAAAGAGUGUAUCGGUCCCAGUCCAGAGCUUAGAGUAGAGCUUUGAUGAAUGUUCUUCUUAGGAAGAUAUUCCCAUUUUCCAAGGGCCUUAGUAUAACAUCCCUAGCCCAAAACCUUACUACUAAAAAUCUGCAGAUUCAUAACUUGAAUUAAAGUUCUCUAUCUUUCCCAUUAUGCCAUGCUGCUUGAAGUUGGUAUUGAUUCUGGAAAAUCUUGGAUAAGAUCAAGUUUUUGAAGGAAGUAGUAUUUUGAGACAAGGUAAAGUAUUUCUUGAACAUUAGAAUAUUCGCCUAGAAAGGCAGACUAAGAAAAAGAUCCUCCCAUGGGCAGCAUAAGGGUAAUAUCUGUAUAGGUCUAAAGAAGACAGAAAGAGUGACCUAAAUGGAAGCAGAAAGUAUGACAUCUAGAGCAGUGAAAACUCUUGAAAAAAGCACUGAUUUUGGAAUAAAGCAGCCUGGUUUGAAAUAAAAAAAAAUAUCUUGGAUAUUAUCUCUUCAGGAUACAGAGGUAACAAUAUCCACCUAGAAGGCCAAAAAACUAUUAAAUGAUGUAAUAUAUUGAGAAUACAUAGCACAGAAUAUAUUUCAUGCCUGGUACUCCAUAAACAUUACUAUAAAGACAUGCUCUGGUGAGAAGAGACUUAAGCUUUCUGAAUUCUGCCUAGAAUGUGUGUGUGUGUGUGUGUGUGUGUGUGUGUGUGUGGUGUUUCUGAAAUGGUGGACUUCCAUUUUUAUAGCCAGAAGUAUUUCUCCUGCUUUUUUACAGACAGACUCUUGAUUUGAACUUUGGAGAAACACUUCCUUUUUCCUUUAUGAAAAUAAAUACUUUAUUUGUUGGCUUGUUGAUGUAAUAAUAAAGCAAAGCAAAAGGAAAGGAAAGAAGUUUGAGAUAAGGGAGAGCUAAAAUAUAUGACACAAUAAAUUUCUUUUUUUCAGGAAAGAAAGAAUGUGCCCCUUUCAUAAACAUUGGUUAAUAUGUCCUCUCUCCAAAAAACAUGUUACUUCUUGAGAGAGAUGGAUGACUUAGCUCUUAUUACCCCCUGGAGGCUGGCACAGAGAUGUGCUGGUGGCAGAAAGUGCUCAGGAGCACAGUCUCAUGGCACAAUGUUCAGGAAUUCUAUAGGGAAGACAGAAGCCCAAUCUGUAUCUUCCACUCACAUCUUUCAUGUAUUAUUUUCCUGGACUACAUAACUCAGACUCUGGGAAAUGUUCUAUACUUGGAAUAUGCUAUUCAAAUAUCCUGGCCAAAGGCAAGUUUUUAGAGGCAAGGGGGGUUGUUUUGAUGAAGACAGUGAACAUUCUGGCAACCAUCAUGGACAUGAGGAAUGUUUAGCAAGAGUGUGAAGACUCAGAAUUGGACUCCUCUACACCAGAUUGGUUCAAAAGCAUUUCCAUUUAUUGCUUUUGUAUACUCAAUGAAAUUUAUUGAGUAGCUAUUAUGAACCUAUCACUAUUCAGGUGUUUGAAAUAUAGCAGUACAAAAUCUCUGCUUAAGGAGCUUUUCACUCUAGGCGGAGAUAUGGACAAUAAACAAGUGAAAACAAUAUGAAAGCAAAAUAAAUGCAGGUAAUAAUCAUAACUGUAAAAAUAAUAUUUUCUAGGAUCAAGGAAGACCCUUUCAAGAGAGUAAUAUUUGAGCUGAGGUCUAAAUAAUAUGCAGAGGCAGAGUAAUGGCCCCAUCAAACAUGACCACAUCUCUGGAACUUAGGAAUAUGUUAUUUUAUGUGGCAAAAGGAAAUUUGCAGAUAUGACCUUCAGAGUUAAGGAUCUUGAUGUAGGGAGAUUAUCUUGGAUGAUUCAAGUGGACCCAAUCUAAUCACUGAGUGAAGAGGUGGAAGAGGAAGGCAGAACAGUGGGUCACACAGAUGUGGUAUGAGAGGACUAGACUCACUGUUGCUGGCUUUGAAGGCAGAGGGGAGAGACCAUGAGUCGAGGAGUAUAGUUUGGCUUUAGGAGCUGGGAAUGGAACUCAGCAGACAGCCAGGAAGAAAACAGGGACCCCAGCCCUACUGUCCCAGGACCUGAAUUCUGCCAGUCACCCUAAUGAGCAGUAACUGAAUUCUCUCCUAGAGCCUGCAGGGAGGGAUGCACCCCUGCUGACCAGCUAAUUUUAGUUCUGUGAGAUUCAUACUCUACAUCUGACUUGCAGAACUGAAGUUCAUAAAUGUGUGCUGUUUUAUGCCAUGAAAUUUUGUUACAAUAACUAUGGGAAACAAAUACCACACACAAAGACAAGAGGGGCCCAUGUCAGAAUGUGGAUACAGAAAUGCACACAUCCUAGUGUGGCUGAGGCGGGUAGUGCCAAUCAACACAGAUCUUCGCAAUAUUUACACAUAUCCAGAAUACCAAGGAAGAUUUGAGGAAGGAAAUUUGGCAAAGAUAUCUGAUGCCUCACAAUGAGUUGAGAGACAUGUUUAGGCUAUUAUGAGUUGGAGAAAAACAGAUGAAUCACCACACAGAUUUGUGAAAUCUAGAUAUCUGGGUAUAAAACCAGUAAUGUUUCACAGCUCUAAUUCAUACCAAGUCUCUCAGACAAGAGUUUGCUGUUCAGCAAACACUGGAGUUCCAGGUGGAAAUCUUAACAGUAACAAACAACUGGCCUGAGGAGUUCAUUUGCAAGAAAAAUUGAAGAAAGGAAAUGGAUGGAAGCAUGACUCCAUCAGUGUGGCAGCAUUGCUAUGUGAUCCCUAGUAGGGUGGGGCAUCUGACAAUAAGUGGAGAAUGAGCAGAGGAAGGGUGACCCAGGUUGAGCAGAAGAGGGCUCUUUAUACGGUCCUGAAAAAGCUUUUCUUCUUGCAAAAGAAGAAAGAGCCUUUCUCAGGGAAGAUGCCAUUAGCUUUUUCAUAGGGGACACUGACCCAGGCAAUUUAACCACCUUUCAGAAGCAAUCUCUUUGCUUUUCUAUUUUACUGUGUUUCAUUUCAACUUCUCUUUUUCUCUAAAUUGUGUAACCAAUUGCAAACAUGUCCCAGGAAAAGAAGAGAAUAGCUGCCAGCCUGUACUCUGGCUUCUACCCAUGGCUGCCCCUUUCCUGCUUUUACAAACUGAAAACUUCACAUCAGCCAGCUGAGAGAUGGCCAAAGUAAAAAGCAAUCUGCAAACGGGAAGCAUCCGGCUGUCAUUUUAUUAUCUGGUGGUAAAGGCAGAUGGGGCAUGUGCAGGUGUCUUGGGGGGUGAAAUGGUCACAAUAAGAAGCCAGUGUGGGUGGACACUGCUUCUUGAAGAGGGAGCUGAGAUGAGUGGAGAGAAAUGCAGGCACUAAUGCUGCAUAUACAUCCUGGCACGGAGUCAGGACAAAGGCUGAGAGGGCUCCUGGGAUAGAACAGAAUAAUGGCUAGUGGUCCUGGCAUGGAAGAGCCUGGAUGUGGUUCAUUGCACUGCCACUUUUUAAUCUGUGUGACUUCAGCAAUUGUCUUCUUCACCUUAUUGGGAUAGUGUGAUGAUUACAUAUUACAUAUAAAGUCCCGAGCACUUAAGUGCUCUCAGUAAAUAUUUAUAAAGGCUGUUACUAUUCCUGAUAUGUAUUUUUAAAGGGUAGCUAAAUUAAAAAUAACUUUCAUAUACUUUGCUACAACCAGGGAGUAAGUAGGAACACACACCUCUCCUCAGAGAAGAAACAUCAUAUAAUCAAUAAA